GGUUCCUCCACUACUCCUAGAGGGCUGCCUCAACAGACUGUAGGAAAAUUAAUUCAUGGACUGCUCGAGUUAAACACCGGGAGCAGUGGAUCACUGAACAAUCUGCAGAAGGGCUCUGGAGACACACUAACACUGCAGAGCUGGGAUGUUUUCUCCAGGGAAGGGCCUGGACAGCACAGCUGAGCACCAUCAACUUGCGCAGCCAUGAGAGCAACAUGUUUAGCAGUUUAAGAAGGAGGAUGAGCCACCACGGAGCACGAGAAGGAAGCUGCUUGCUGUUACUUGGAAUUAACAAUUGAAAGAGGGAGAAGAUUGAAGGAGUUUCCAGAGGAAAUGUGAAUUGCUUCUGGUUAGAUUCAAUUCCCCUCUGCUGCAGGGAGCUCCCUCUGAGGCGGGCAAUGUCCCCGCAUCCACGGCUGAAGCUGUUUCCAGCGCUGCACUCUUCUGCAGGCUUUAGAAACCCUAUCCCAGUCUCUUCUGGGAUGUAGCACGUGUAACCAGCAGAGAUCCAAAGUUACUUAACGAAGCAUUAUACAAAGAGGAGAAAAGCUUUUCUUCUGUGCAUCUAGCCAUCCUGCUUCUGUUUACAUUGGCCAAGACUUUGGAGGAAUACCUAAAAACUGAGGUUUGUAAAUGCAUCAAGUCCAACAUGAGCAACAUAAUGUAAUUAACACUUCAUGCCCAUGUUCCCCCUCUGCAUGCUUCUUCCACAUGAUCCAGAAGCUUUGAGACAACUGCUGUAAUUUUUUUAUAUGGAUGACAGGUUACAUGGCAAUAGUAUUACACUCUUUAUUAAAUCCCUGAAGCUGGCC
ensembl:lncRNA